rnacentral:lncRNA from 1 species
UUCUGAGACAAGCUGUUGUUGAACAGUGUUGAAGCUAAUGAGACUUGUGUCCUGCUUAUUGUCCUCCAGUGCAUGGGCCUUUUGCAGGCAAAGUGCCCCUACACUAUGGGAAACGUAAAAGUGUUUUUCUUAAACGCAGGUGGAAGAACAAGCAGUCACAUUGUCAGUCACAUCUGACACAAAUAACAGCCAGCCAGGAUGAUUUAUGCUACUGUAUGAUGUGAGAAAUCCUACAUCUUUGGCUGUAUGUGGGGCCUACUCCAACCAAUAAGGUACAAUGGCUUUGAACGAUCUUCAGGACUUCUGGACUGAACACAGCAGAGACCCAACAUGUCUGAAGUUUCUGAGUCCCACUGUAAGGCUCACAGGACUGUUCCUCUUCCCCAGACACACUGGAGCUCACAUGCAGGUUCAUGAGGCGUCGUCUGCACAGGUAAGACCCUGUGUAAACCAGCAAGGACUUUCCUUCUGUUCCUUGCACUUUCAUUUCCAGGGGAAAUAAAGCCAGGCCCACACAGGCUGCAAGAGAAAGUGGCCUCCAACAUUGUCUCUCCUUGAUUACUGAUCUGGAUAAUCACAACCCUGUGACACACUAAAGUAUACAGGCAGCCUGGAAAAAAAAAAAAAAAAAAAGUGGUUAUCUGAAUUUGGAUUUUGAGCUUACAUUUGCUUUCCAAUAAGGACUCCUUGAGAGGCUCUAACUAGCCAGUACCUUUAUAUAGUGGUAUGCAACUCUUUUUGUUUUUCUUUAUAAAUUUGGCUUUAUUUUGGGGACUUGGUUUAUAUCAACUCCCCCCCCGCCCAAAUGGGGAAAUAAAUCUCCCUGAUUCUUCCUUGGUGUUUUCUCU